UACGGAGGGCGCGAGCGUUGUCCGGAAUCACUGGGCGUAAAGGGCGCGUAGGCGGCCCUGGUAAGUCUGCGGUGAAAGCCCGGGGCUCAACCCCGGGUCGGCCGCGGGUACUGCCGGGCUGGAGUGCCGUAGGGGCAGGCGGAAUUCCGGGUGUAGCGGUGGAAUGCGUAGAGAUCCGGAAGAACACCGGUGGCGAAGGCGGCCUGCUGGGCGGCGACUGACGCUGAGGCGCGACAGCGUGGGAGCAACGAGG
rnacentral:rRNA from 1 species